GGUGGGGACGGAGUCUUGCUCUAUCGCCCAGGCUGGAGUGCAGUGGCACCAUCUGGGUUCACUGCAAUCUCUGCCUCCCAGAUUCAAGCGAUGCUCCUGCCUCAGCCUCCCGACUAGCUGGGACUAUAGGUAUAUGCCACCACACUGGGUUAAUUUUUGUAUUUUUGUAGAGACGGGGUUUCACCAUAUUGGCCAGGCUGGUCUCGAACUCCUGACCUCAUGAUCCGCCCUCCUCGGCCUCCCAAAGUGCUGGGAUUACAGGCGUGAGUCACCGUGCCCGGCCAGUUUAUAGGUUUAGAAACUGAAACUCUGGCUGUGGAGCUAGGAAGCAGCUUGCCCAGGAGGCAAAUGCAGGCCUGAUUCCAAGGCCCGGGCGCGGAGCUGCCAAGCUUUAUGGGUCCAGAGUCACUGGCAAGUCCUAAUAAUAGUAAUAAUUUACUGUAUGCCUCGCCUGCAUCAUUCUAAGUACCUUUCCGAUGCUGUCUCACAUACUUUUGUGGGAUGGGUAUCACUAUUGUCCUUGGGGUCCUCCCAAGGAGGUUAAGGCAUAAUGGGUGAAAAGUCUUGUCUAAGGUCCUCAGCUAGAAAGUGGUAGAAGCAGGACUUGAGCCCAGAUACAAAGUCCACACACAGGCUUCAACCACUCUGCCUUCCAGGAAGAGCUGGUAGUGUUUAAGAGUCUAGUCCAGAACACUGUCUCAACAGCAUCAUUAGAUCAGGGCUCCUAAUCCCUAGAACCCUGUGUAACACUGCAACCCUGGCCAGGCAUAGUGGUUCAAGCCUGUAAUUCCAGCACUUUUGGAGGCCAAGGUGAGAGGAUUGCUUGAGCCCAGGAGUUCGAGACCAGCCUAGGCAACAUAGUAAGAACCUAUCUUUACAAAAAACAAAAAAUUAGCCAGGCAUGGUGGUGAGCACCUGUAGUCCCAGCUCCUGGGGAGGCUGAGGCGGGAAGAUUAAUUGAGCCCGGGAGUUUGAGGCUGCAGUGAGCUAUGAUCACACCACUACACUCCAGCCUGGGUGACAGAGUGAGACCCUGUCUCCAAAUAUAUAAAUGCUCCCCUGCCUCCCUGUGGGGAUAGAUAGGGUAAGAGAACCCACUCAGAAAGAAAGGUUAAGAUGGCCUGGGUGGCUGUGGUACCCCAGGAGACUAAAAAAAGUUACGGUGAGAAAUGCUUGGACUGCAACUCUUGGUAAAAUCUGAUGCUGGCAGGUGGGCAUUUUGGAAAAUAAGUCCUUGGGGUGAUUCUCCUAGAGAUGGGCCUAGCUUGACAACAGGUAACAGAGCUGUGACGUCAGCUGAGCUCUGGCGGUUCUCACACUGCAGGAUUCCAACUACAAACCUAGACCGGGGAGGAACAGGCUCAGAAGUAGGUUUUCGCCGGAGUGCAGUGGCAGGAUCUCAGCUCCUGACCUCAUAAUCCGCCUGCCUCGCCCUCCCAAAGUGGUGGGAUUACAGGGAUUACCGUGCCUGGCCAGCAGUCAUCUUUUACAAUGAACAAAUAGGGCUGGGCGCGGUGGCUCACAUCUGUAAUCCUAGCACUUUGGGAGAUGGGCAGAUCACGAGGUCAGGAGACCAGCCUGGCCAACAUGGUGAAACCUCGUCUCUACUAAAAAUACAAAAAUUAGCUGGGUGUGGUGAUGCACGCCUGUAAUCCUAGCUACUCAGGAGGUUGAGGCAGGAGAAUCGCUUGAACCCGGGAGGUGGAGGUUUCAGUGAGCUGAGAUUGCACCACUGCACUCCAGCCUGGGCGACAGACAGACCAAGACUCCAUCUCAAAAAAAAAAUAAAUAAAUAAAUAAAAAUAAGUCAGGCACAGUGGCUCACGCAUGCCUGUAAUCACAGCCCUGUGGGAGGGUGAGGCAUGAGGAUCGCUUGAGGCCAGGGGUUUGAGACUAGCUUGGGCAACAUAGUGAGACCCUAUCUCUACAAAAAGUAAAAUGAACAAAUAAAUAUAGCAACUACAUAUCAGAACUUGGAGGCACUUAUUAGCUAUUAGUCCUGAGUACUUGUAAACACUGAAUAGAAGCUAGCCAAAUUUUUAAUUCUAAUAAUAGCUAAUACUGAUUACUGAAGGCUAUGUGCAAGGCACUGUUCCAAGUGUUGUUUUUUUUUUUUUUGUAUUAACUCAUUAAAUCCUCACAAUCACCCUGUACAAGUAUUAUUACUGUCUCCAUGUUACAGGGAGGGAAACUGACGCACAAGGAGACUACGUACCUGCCCAAGUUACACAGCAGUGGAUUGGAAGCAGAGGUUCUGUUCCAGCAGCCACAUGUCCCCUCCAAGGUGAAGCUAUAAUACUGAUGCCUGAAUCUUUGGGGGAGGAGGCAAGUCAAGUGGGCAGAGAUUAUCCCUAUUUGAGACAAGUUUCAGAGAGGGGAAGUGACUUGACCAAUGUCACACGGCUGACAAACACUUAAAACUGAUGCUGGAACUGGAUCUUUUGCAUCUAAGCCAAGGGCUCUACUCACUGUUCCAAUCUACCACCAGUGCCCAAGCAUGGAGGGGACAGGGAUCUGGGCUGGUAAUAGGGACUUCCAGCCCAAGACAGGUGCAGUGAUGAUUCAGAGCCUCCUGAGAAUCAUCAAGUCUAGUAAAUUAUAAGUCGCAAUGACAAUUACAUCAGCUAAAGUUUAUGAUGCUUACUAUGUGCCAUUGUUCUAAGGCUCAAAAUGCAUUAACUUUUAAGCUGGGCGUGGUGGCUCAUGCCUAUAAUCCCAGCAUUUUGGGAGGCCGAGGCGGGUGGAUCAUUAAGGUCAGGAGUUUGAGACCAGCCUGGCCAACACGGUGAAACCCUGUCUCUACUGUGGCCGGGUGCAGUGGCUCACGCCUGUAAUCCUAGCAGUUUGGGAGGCCAAGGCGGGCAGAUCACUUGAGGUCAGGAGUUCGAAACCAGCCUGGUCAACAUGGUGAAAGACCGUCUCUACUAAAAAUACAAAAAAAUUAGCUGGGUGUGGUGGCUGGCGCCUGUAAUCCCAGCUACUUGGGAGGCUGAGGCAGAAUUGCUUGAACCUGGGAGGUAGAGGUUGCAGUGAGCCCAGAUCAUGCCACUGCACUCCCACCUGGGCAACAGAGUGAAAUUCCAUCUCAAAAAAAAAAAAAAAAAAAAAAAAAAAAAAGGCCAGGUGUGGUGGUGCAUGCCUGUAAUCCCAGCUAUUCAGGUAGCCAAGGUACGAGAAUUGCUUGAACCAAGGAGGUGGAGGUUGGAGGUUGCAGUGAGCUGAGACUGCCCCACUGAACUCCAGCCUAGGUAACAGAGACUGUCUCAAAAAAAAAAAAAAAAGCAUUAACUUUUAAUCUUCACAUACCCUAUGGUCCCCAGUAUACAGAUGAGGAAACGAAAGAGCUCAGAGUUCUGGGAAACACGCUCAAAAUCACGUCAGUAAGCUUUUCUGGUUCCCCAGGAGGAUGCUUACCAAAGCUUAGACAUGCUGGUGUGACACAGUCAAAUUGUAAAAACAGAAAGACACACACGUGGCCUUGCCUGGCAAUAAAUAUUUUAAUUUGUUUCAUUUUUAUGAUG
rnacentral:lncRNA from 10 species